rnacentral:rRNA from 1 species
CACGUAGGCACCAAGCGUUGUCCGGAUUUAUUGGGCGUAAAGAGCUCGUAGGCGGUUCGAUAAGUCGGGUGUGAAAACUUUGGGCUCAACCCAAAGCGUGCAUUCGAUACCGUUGUGACUAGAGUUCGGUAGGGGAGUGGGGAAUUCCUAGUGUAGCGGUGAAAUGCGCAGAUAUUAGGAGGAACACCGGUGGCGAAGGCGCCACUCUGGGUCGAAACUGACGCUGAGGAGCGAAAGCGUGGGUAGCAAACAGG